rnacentral:rRNA from 1 species
UACGGAGGAUCCGAGCGUUAUCCGGAUUUAUUGGGUUUAAAGGGUGCGCAGGCGGGAGAUUAAGUCGGCGGUGAAAUUUUGCAGCUCAACUGUAAAAGUGCCUUCGAAACUGGUUUCCUUGAGUGUGGAUGAAGUAGGCGGAAUUUGUGGUGUAGCGGUGAAAUGCAUAGAUAUCACGAGGAACUCCGAUUGCGCAGGCAGCUUACUAAACUACUACUGACGCUCAGGCACGAAGGCGUGGGGAUCAAACAGGAUUAGAUACCCGGGUAGU